UUCGUGUGCGGCGUUUCACUGCUACUUGUCGUCGUAUAGAAUACAGCUCCGUGGUAAUAAUUCUUUACAAAAAAAAAAGGAAGAAAAAAAAAAAAAACAAGAGAAGGCAUGAAAAAUACAUGUUUUUUAUUAAACAUUUUGUGUGUAUGUUAAUUUUUUUUUAUAUUUUUGGUUCAUUCAUUUGGUGAAAAGUGAAGCAAGCUAAAGAAAAUAGAAAUACAAAAGGAAAAGCAAAGUGAAGAAGAAGUAUAACUCACACAUACAUGCCUGCAUAUAUAUACAAACACACAUUAAAAUGAAAUAGUGCUUGUUAGUGUGCGGUAAUGUUAAGAGUGUCAGUGAGUGAGUGAGUUAGUGUCUUCUGAAACGGUGUUUCAAAUCUUUGUGUGUAUGAAAGUUGGAGAUAAUGAUGAUAGGUUUGUGUAAGUGUGUGUGUGUGAUGGCAUUUGAACUGGAAAACUAGAGGCAAGAAAAGUUGGAUGAAGAAAAAAAAUCAAGUAUUAGGAAAAUGUUAAAACCAACACACGAAUAAGAUAAUAAUGACUAUGAAUAUGACGAUGUUGGUAGUGAUGAUAAUGAUGAAUAAUCUAAUAAUGAUGAUGUGCUGCAUACAUUAAAUUAAAAUUUCACCAUAAAAACGGAAGUUCUAAAACCAUAAUUCAUGUCAUAACACAAAUGUAUAAAACGAAUAAUUAGUAAAAAGUCAUGGCUUAAGAAAAGUUAUGUUUAUGCUAAUCUAAAAGAAGAAUAAUUCCAACAAAAUACAUCUAAAUAAUUUAAAUUACAAGCCAGUAGAAAAAAGUUUUAAUAAUAAAGUUUAUGUUGCAAUAAAAUAACCAAAAUGUUUCAGAAAACUCAAAGAGUUCGCAUAAAAUAUAAAAGCAAGUUUAUUGAAACUUUAAGGCAUCAUCAACAUCACUGUCAGCAGCACCAGCAUAGAGAUAAUGUUAAUAGCAGCAAGUGUAUGAAUUGCUAAAAUAGUGCAACAAAAAUAAUGAAUUUUUUGGAGCAUGAACAAUUGUUGGAAUUGAAUGAACUAUAUGUGCAAAUUCAACAGAAGUCAUAAAGAAUAAAAAACUUUAAUAAAAAAAGGGGAAUUGCUAGUAAAAAAGGUUUAAAAAAAGACUAAAACUUAAACCUACAAAAAGAAAAUUCAUAAAAAUAUUCAAUAUUUCAAAAGGAUU